GGAGGAGCUGUUUGGACAAUGUGGCAGGACAGGGACUGGCUCUGGUAUUCGGUGUGUGGUAAAUAGAGUGAGCACAAGGAGGAAAGGCGAAGGUGAUAGCCUUUUUCAGGCCAGAGAA